AUGAUAUUGAAAAGUCUAGUUGAAUCGAGUAUCAAAUCGCUCCAGGAUCCGAUCGCCUCUCUUGAUGUGUCAGACCUUGCCACCGAUCUUUCCAAUGCCUUCAUCGAUGGUGAUAUCAAUACCAUAGUCAAUAUUCUGCCCGAGUUUGUCUCACUACUGCUCCGCUGCCCACAGGAGAUGCAGACCAUAGCAGAAGACUUCUUGCGAUGCUUAUCCUCGGCAAAGCAGACCGAUUCCGUGAUAAACGCCAACAUUGCGUUCCAGGAAAAGCUUAAAAUUAGACAAUAUAGUUACAGAUAUGGUGAUAGUGAUGAAGUAUAA
rnacentral:tRNA from 1 species